GACACGGUCCAAACUCCUACGGGAGGCAGCAGUGAGGAAUAUUGGUCAAUGGGCGAGAGCCUGAACCAGCCAAGUAGCGUGAAGGAUGACUGCCCUAUGGGUUGUAAACUUCUUUUAUAAAGGAAUAAAGUCGGGUAUGUAUACCCGUUUGCAUGUACUUUAUGAAUAAGGAUCGGCUAACUCCGUGCCAGCAGCCGCGGUAAUACGGAGGAUCCGAGCGUUAUCCGGAUUUAUUGGGUUUAAAGGGAGCGUAGAUGGAUGUUUAAGUCAGUUGUGAAAGUUUGCGGCUCAACCGUAAAAUUGCAGUUGAUACUGGAUAUCUUGAGUGCAGUUGAGGCAGGCGGAAUUCGUGGUGUAGCGGUGAAAUGCUUAGAUAUCACGAAGAACUCCGAUUGCGAAGGCAGCCUGCUAAGCUGCAACUGACAUUGAGGCUCGAAAGUGUGGGUAUCAAACAGGAUUAGAUACCCUGGUAGUCCACACGGUAAACGAUGAAUACUCGCUGUUUGCGAUAUACUGCAAGCGGCCAAGCGAAAGCGUUAAGUAUUCCACCUGGGGAGUACGCCGGCAACGGUGAAACUCAAAGGAAUUGACGGGGGCCCGCACAAGCGGAGGAACAUGUGGUUUAAUUCGAUGAUACGCGAGGAACCUUACCCGGGCUUGAAUUGCAGGUGCAUGAGUCGGAGACGGCUCUUUCCUUCGGGACUCCUGUGAAGGUGCUGCAUGGUUGUCGUCAGCUCGUGCCGUGAGGUGUCGGCUUAAGUGCCAUAACGAGCGCAACCCUUGUUGUCAGUUACUAACAGGUUCCGCUGAGGACUCUGACAAGACUGCCAUCGUAAGAUGUGAGGAAGGUGGGGAUGACGUCAAAUCAGCACGGCCCUUACGUCCGGGGCUACACACGUGUUACAAUGGGGGGUACAGAGGGCCGCUACCACGCGAGUGGAUGCCAAUCCCAAAAACCUCUCUCAGUUCGGACUGGAGUCUGCAACCCGACUCCACGAAGCUGGAUUCGCUAGUAAUCGCGCAUCAGCCAUGGCGCGGUGAAUACGUUCCCGGGCCUUGUACACACCGCCCGUCAAGCCAUGAAAGCCGGGGGUGCCUGAAGUCCGUGACCGCGAGGGUCGGCCUAGGGUAAAACUGGUGAUUGGGGCUAAGUCGUAACAAGGUAGCCGUACCGGAAGGUGCGGCUG
rnacentral:rRNA from 1 species